rnacentral:lncRNA from 1 species
UGCUAGUUCAGAGCCCAUCACUAUGUCUUUAAAGUUAGUAAUCGUUUUUUUAACUCAUUUGCGUUACUUUUCAUUGUUGCUUUCACACCAGAAGCAGGAUGUGGUAUUGACCCUUUUAUUGUCAAUUGUUAUUUGAGAACAGCUCGAUGUCUUUGGCACACACAUCAAACCAGACUUUGAGCAGAGCUAAAUGUGGCUUUGCUUUGAGAACUUCAAUGGAGCCAUGGCCCUUUGCAUUUACAGAGGAGCUGUCUGCAAUGAAAAGUCCCUUUGGCUUCUUGGCUAAACCAAAAGGUUGCAUAACAUGUGCCGUAAGUGGCAACUGAAUUGAAAAACUGGUUAUCUGUAUGGUGGGCAAAAGAGAAAGAUAUUUUGGCAUAUCUCAGUUUCCCUCAGGAUUUGCACCAGGAUAACCUCCUGGAAAGUGCCAGGAGCCUCUCUUGAACGUUCAGUGCCUUCAGACUCCUGUUGGUAUGGAUGGAAACUAAAAACUUUUGAUAGUGGAGAGAUUUAACUCUGAGGGGCUGCAGAAAAAAAGAUGCGUUCCUGUUCCAGGACCUCCAGGUGCACAUAAGGUUUAUUUGCUGCUGUCUCCAUAUGAAAACCGGAUGUUUUCCUUGCCAAAGUGCUGCCCCUCGCUUUAGAGGAGAGUAAGCUAACAGGCUAUUGAGCUCCUCUGAGACAGACAGACUCUUCCUGAAGCUCUUCCUGACAUCUCAGCUCCUGCCGCAGCUGCUGCUGAUAGCUGUCACCACCUGAGGUCUCACUGAAACCUGAGUUCUUUAUCCCACACACGUACAAUUAAAUUAAGCCAGCAUGGUUCCCCAGAGAAUGCAUGGACCAGAAGGGGGCAAAUAAGACAGGAAAGAGGAGAUGGUGAACUAGUUCUUUCUUCCAUUUGUACUUUCAACAAGAUGAAUGAUGCUUUUGAGAGGAUCUGCAGAUGGCUGCCAUUUAUCAAGACAGAUGAACUCAUUUGCAGGAAGAGGAAAGGCAGAGAUACAAAGAUUGACAUUUCUACUGUGUGGUUUGAAGCUAAAAUGUAAAGCCCGGGGUCCCUCCUGUCCGUGGAAUGCUCAACCGCUAAGAAAGAUGGACAAACAUGUUGGUGAAAUGCUCACUGAAAUCGUGCAUCUUACAGCAAGAGAUGGGCAAGAGCUGAGCGAUUUAGAUCUGGAGGUAGGUUUGAAGACUCCAAAAAUCAACGUUCUCAGCAGAGCUGAGCUUAAGUUUGAGCUCUCUGGGAAAAUAUAGUUCAACUGUAAUCACUCCACUUAUGUGGGCAAUGGGAAAUGGUUCUGGUGUCAGAUCGAUCCUAGCAAAACCAGAUUUUGCUUUUAUUUUAGUCCUCUGAAAGGGAAUUUUUAACCCUGCUCAACUGCAGCCUGGUGCUGCAGUUUUAAGUCUUUUCCGAGUACAUCUGUCCAGUGCUGCAUGGACUCCUGAGCAAAAAUGAAAUACAUUGCUUCUGAUGAAAUACAUUAUCACACCAGUAAAUGCUUAAGGUGGAAUAUGUAUGUGGCUGACUGACUAAUGGACAACUGUAAGUCGUUUCCAUCAACAUAUCUUUACAACCAUAAGAACAUCUUCUGCUUUUUCGAAGAUAUUUUAGGACUAUGAUGGAAAUUGAAGGUGUAAG